UCAUUUUUGUGAUUGGUGCAAUUGUAUUUCAACAAGUUGCAUAGUCAUAAAAAUGAUG
rnacentral:pre_miRNA from 1 species